rnacentral:rRNA from 1 species
GAUGAACGCUGGCGGCGUGCCUAAUACAUGCAAGUCGAGCGAACGGACGAGAAGCUUGCUUCUCUGAUGUUAGCGGCGGACGGGUGAGUAACACGUGGAUAACCUACCUAUAAGACUUGGAUAACUUCGGGAAACCGGAGCUAAUACCGGAUAAUAUUUUGAACCGCAUGGUUCAAAAGUGAAAGACGGUCUUGCUGUCACUUAUAGAUGGAUCCGCGCUGCAUUAGCUAGUUGGUAAGGUAACGGCUUACCAAGGCAACGAUGCAUAGCCGACCUGCGAGGGUGAGCGGCCACACUGGAACGGAGACACGGUCCAGACUCCUACGGGAGGCAGCAGUAGGGAAGCUUGCGGAAUGGGCGAAAGCCUGACGGAGCAACGCCGCGUGAGUGAUGAAGGUCUUCGGAUCGUAAAACUCUGUUAGUAGGGAAGAACAUUUGUGUAAGUAACUGUGCACAUCGUGACGGUACCUAAUCAGAAAGCCACGGCUAACUACGUG